AACGCUGGCGGCAUGCUUUACACAUGCAAGUCGAACGGCAGCGGGGAGUAGCUUGCUACUCUGCCGGCGAGUGGCGGACGGGUGAGUAAUGCCUGGGGAGCUGCCCAAUCGAGGGGGAUACCAGUUGGAAACGACUGCUAAUACCGCAUACGCCCUGAGGGGGGAAAGGUGGGGGAUCUUCGGACCUACCGCGAUUGGAUGCACCCAGGUGGGAUUAGCUAGUUGGUGAGGUAACGGCUCACCAAGGCGACGAUCUCUAGCUGGUCUGAGAGGAUGACCAGCCACACUGGAACUGAGACACGGUCCAGACUCCUACGGGAGGCAGCAGUGGGGAAUAUUGCACAAUGGGGGAAACCCUGAUGCAGCCAUGCCGCGUGUGUGAAGAAGGCCUUCGGGUUGUAAAGCACUUUCAGCGAGGAGGAAAGGUGGCUAGCUAAUACCUAGUUGCUGUGACGUUACUCGCAGAAGAAGCACCGGCUAACUCCGUG
rnacentral:rRNA from 1 species